GCCUACGGGGCGCAGCAGUAGGGAAUCUUCCACAAUGGACGAAAGUCUGAUGGAGCAACGCCGCGUGAGUGAAGAAGGGUUUCGGCUCGUAAAGCUCUGUUGGUAGUGAAGAAAGAUAGAGGUAGUAACUGGCCUUUAUUUGACGGUAAUUACUUAGAAAGUCACGGCUAACUACGUGCCAGCAGCCGCGGUAAUACGUAGGUGGCAAGCGUUGUCCGGAUUUAUUGGGCGUAAAGCGAGUGCAGGCGGUUUACUUAAGCUGAUGUGAAAGCCUUAGGGUCAA
rnacentral:rRNA from 1 species